rnacentral:rRNA from 1 species
GAUGAACGCUGGCGGCGUGCCUAAUACAUGCAAGUCGAGCGAACAGACGAGGAGCUUGCUCCUCUGACGUUAGCGGCGGCCGGGUGAGUAACACGUGGAUAACCUACCUAUAAGACUGGGAUACCUUCGGGAAACCGGAGCUAAUACCGGAUAAUAUAUUGAACCGCAUGGUUCAAUAGUGAAAGACGGUUUUGCUGUCACUUAUAGAUGGAUCCGCGCCGCAUUAGCUAGUUGGUAAGGUAACGGCUUACCAAGGCAACGAUGCGUAGCCGACCUGAGAGGGUGAUCGGCCACACUGGAACUGAGACACGGUCCAGACUCCUACGGGAGGCAGCAGUAGGGAAUCUUCCGCAAUGGGCGAAAGCCUGACGGAGCAACGCCGCGUGAGUGAUGAAGGUCUUCGGAUCGUAAAACUCUGUUAUUAGGGAAGAACAAAUGUGUAAGUAACUAUGCACGUCUUGACGGUACCUAAUCAGAAAGCCACGGCUAACUACGUG